rnacentral:tRNA from 1 species
AGUAAAAUAAGCUAAAUUAAGCCCCCGGACUCAUACCCCGGUUAUGGACCCCUCCUUUUACUA